GCACAAAGACACACACCCACACACUCACACGCAUGUCCAAACCACCGGUCCAAGUCAACCGUGCUUUCUUCUAUCCAAUUCCAAAUAUAUACCUCUGCUCAGUCUUCUCUACCCCAUCUUCUUCCUUCUCUCUCUCUCUCAUUCUCAUUCUCAUACGUUUCAAUUCCUUAACUUUUUUGCUUGUACCUAAAACUCUGGAAUCCAAUGAGAAAGCCUUGUUGUGAUAAGCAAGACACCAACAAAGGCGCUUGGUCUAAGCAAGAAGACCAGAAGCUCAUUGAUUACAUUCGUAAACAUGGGGAAGGUUGCUGGCGAACCCUCCCUCAAGCUGCAGGUUUGUAUAUUGUAAUCCUACCUUCACCCACAUUUUUUCGCCAUACCCACAUCCAUAUAUAUAAUAUUAUGGAGUGGGUAUUGAUUUUUGUUUUCAUGCUUCUCAGGACUGCUUCGCUGUGGCAAAAGUUGUAGGCUGAGAUGGAUAAACUAUCUUAGGCCUGACCUUAAAAGAGGAAACUUUGCUGAAGAUGAAGAGGACCUUAUUAUCAAGCUUCAUGCGCUUCUCGGAAACAGGUGGUCUCUAAUAGCUGGAAGAUUGCCUGGACGCACCGACAAUGAAGUAAAGAAUUACUGGAAUUCACAUUUAAGAAGAAAGCUUAUGAACAUGGGAAUUGAUCCGAAUAACCAUCGUUUGAACCAAAAUCUUCCUCGUCUUCAAAACCCACAAGACUCUUCUAGUGCAACGUCCUCUGGUAUGAAAAGUGACACCACCAAACCCCACAAUGAUAAUAAUAAUAAUAAUAGUAAUGAGCAAGCAUCUGAUGCAGCUAGUUGUUUGGAGGAUGGCCCAAGUGCUUUGCCUGACCUAAACCUUGACCUCACAAUGAGCAUUCCUUCCUCUACAUCUGCCAAUAUCAGUCCUGAAGAGAAGCAAAAGAUUACUGAAUCUAAUUUAUCAAAGGAACCAGAAGUUGCUGCUGCUUCUCCUACGCUUCUCCUCUUUCAGUAAUUACCUGCUGCUCUUGUAAGGACCAUCCUAAUGAGGUGGAACUGAUAUAGAUAGAUAAUUGGGAUAUGUCUUCUCACUGUAAAUCUUUGAUUGUUUGGAAAAAUAUGGCAAUCCAUUAAUUUCCGGAAAGUGUGAACAAAGACGAGAAGCCUGGAAGCAACCCAGUCAAGGAAAGAUGACAACUGAGAGAGUUCUAUUACUUCAAACCUCUUUGUUGCUCUUACCUAGCGGUGGUAUCAUGAUCCUGUGCCUUCAAAUUAAAUGUUACCAAAAGCUCUGAUGGCAUAUUGAUCAUGCACAGUAAAUGGGCAUGAUUUCAAGAAGUUGAACUUUUCAAUUUUAACUUUCUUGUAUAUCAUCAUUUGCCAUUGUAGAAUAAGUAUUUAGGUGAUUAUUCUAGCAUAUAUGAUGUAUUAAUAAGAGAUAUAGCUCAGUUGUUGAAUAUGUGAAACUUUUUUUAAUUAUGGUUUCAUCUUAUUCUUCAUCCUAAAUGUUGUUUUGGUUCUAACGUAAGUAUAAUUUAAUUUCUAGUUUCA
rnacentral:misc_RNA from 1 species